CAUACUGGCUGGGGAAGUCAGAGUUCCAAGGGAGAUGAACAGUUAUCAGCCUUAUGAAGCUGGGAGUCUUCUGGCUCACCCCAGUCCUGCCAAGCAGGCUGUGAAGUUUGUUCUAAUUAUAUUGACUUGCUGGUAACAGAAAGAUCGUCUGGGCAUGUCCCCCUCAAUAUCUCCAAAGUGUCUUUCAGUGUGGAAAAAUGGAACAACUUCACUUCUCAAUGGGAUGAAGUAAUCAUCUCUGUUAUGGGGAAUUCAAAGUCUCUCAAUGGCCCCAUCAAAGAGCAGGUCUCUGUGUGUGGGGGAUAUUUCAAUCUGAAAAACGUGAGCAAAGCAGCUGGGGGAUAUUAUAAGGUGAUAUUGGUACUAUCUGGAAAGUGUGUGGCCUGUAUACAUCUGAGAGUGCUGGAGCCCACUUCAUCCCCACCUCCCACACCACAAACCCCCAGAGUGAGUGAGGAACCCACCACUACGAGUGGAAAAGAGGGACUGAAGGCUUUGAAAUGGACCAUUCCUGUUGCGCUCUUUGCUAUGGUGCUGAUGAUGUUCUGAUAACAGAGGCUCAUUAUCUUUCGAGGGAAAAAUCAUGGUUACCAAUAAAGAUCUGUCUGUGCCAUGGGCCUGAAGUUUCUUGCAUUGAACUAUUCCAAGUUUAGGAAAGGAGUGGAAUACAAUACCUAGCUCGUAUACAGUGGUUCUCAUCUGUAGAUCUCAAUGCUCUUUACACAAUUGUGCUGGUGAUGGGCAGCCAUGUGUUCCAUGAGGACAACUGAAAUAUAGAAAUGUCCAGGGGUAGGCAACCUAUGGCACGUGUGCCGAAGGCGGCACACAAGCUGGUUGUCAGUGGCACUCACACUGCAUGGGUCCUGGCCACCGGUCCAGGGGGCUCUGCAUUUUAAUUUAAUUUUAAAUUAAGCUUCUUAAACAUUUUAAAAACCUUAUUUACUUUACAUACAACAAUAGUUUAGUUAUAUAAUAUAGACUGAUAGAGAAAUACCUUCUAAAAACAUUAAAAUGUAUUGCUGGCAUGCAAAAUUUUAAAUUAGAGUGAAUAAAUGAAGACUCAGCAUACCACUUCUGAAAGGUUGCCGACUCCUGAUCUAGGCGCUGAAUGACUUCCAGGCAAAGUUCACCAUCCUUAAGUCACUUCAGCAUGUGAACUCUAAGGAGAGAGACGGCGGCCAAGGGGUUAAAACUAGGUGGAAUUCAAAAGGGAGGGGCAUUUAGCGCAGAAAUCUGGGCCAACAGAUAGAAAAGAUAUUCUGUGGCUAGGGUGUAAGCCUGUACCCUGGGUUCAAUUCUGUGUUUUGCCCCAGACUUCCUGUGUGGCUUUGCCCAAGUCACUUAGGGCUGAUAGCUCAAAAGGAAUAAGGCACCUAAGUCCCAGUUUUGGCACCAUUGCAAUGCACAAACCCUGUAGGUAGGUGCCUUAACUCACUCAGAGGCUGGAGGCUUGUCUACACUACCAAGUUUUGUUGACAAAACUUAUGUUGACACCCAAAAGUCGACAAAACAAAAAUCACCAAAGGGUGUUCACACUUGCUUCCUCUGUCGACAGAUCUUGUCCACAUUGGGGGCACCAUUAUUGACAGGUGUCAUAAACAGAUUGUUAAGGGUUAAUGUCUCUUCUACCUGUAAAGGGUUACAAGCAGGGAACUGGACACCUGCCCAUAAGACCAAUCAGAAGACAAGAUACUUUUAAAUUUGGGUGGAGGGAAGCUUUUGUGUGUGUUCUUUGUCCAUUGGAUGUUCUUCUCUCAGAGGGUCUGAGAGAGACCAGACAUUACUACAGGCUCUCUAAGUUUCUUUUCGAAUAGUAAGUAAAAACAGGCGAUUUAGGCUUUUUGAUUGUUUUACUCUAUUUGCAAUUGUGGAUCUGGCUGGUUAACUUUUAUAUGUGUAGUUGCUGGGAAUAUUUUGAUUUGUAUUGGUACUGGGGGGAAAGUCUCCUUCUGGUGUCUGUAAGCUAUAGGACCCUGUAAUAUUUACAUCUUGAAGUUAC